rnacentral:rRNA from 1 species
UGGGGAAUAUUGCACAAUGGGCGCAAGCCUGAUGCAGCGACGCCGCGUGGGGGAUGACGGCCUUCGGGUUGUAAACUCCUUUCGCCAGGGACGAAGCUUUUUGUGACGGUACCUAGAUAAGAAGCACCGGCUAACUACGUGCCAGCAGCCGCGGUAAUACGUAGGGUGCGAGCGUUGUCCGGAAUUACUGGGCGUAAAGGGCUCGUAGGUGGUUUGUCGCGUCGUCUGUGAAAUUCCGGGGCUUAACUCCGGGCGUGCAGGCGAUACGGGCAUAACUUGAGUACUGUAGGGGUAACUGGAAUUCCUGGUGUAGCGGUGAAAUGCGCAGAUAUCAGGAGGAACACCGAUGGCGAAGGCAGGUUACUGGGCAGUUACUGACGCUGAGGAGCGAAAGCAUGGGUAGCGAACAGG